rnacentral:rRNA from 1 species
UACGUAGGGUCCGAGCGUUGUCCGGAAUUACUGGGCGUAAAGAGCUCGUAGGUGGUUUGUCGCGUUGUUCGUGAAAACUCACAGCUCAACUGUGGGCGUGCGGGCGAUACGGGCGGACUGGAGUACUGCAGGGGAGACUGGAAUUCCUGGUGUAGCGGUGGAAUGCGCAGAUAUCAGGAGGAACACCGGUGGCGAAGGCGGGUCUCUGGGCAGUAACUGACGCUGAGGAGCGAAAGCGUGGGGAGCGAACAGG